rnacentral:lncRNA from 1 species
UCAAAGAUUCUAAGAUUAAAGUAGUCUAUUCAUAAUAUAUUCCCUGAAAUAUUUCUCUCUAUAGUCUAUUCAUUUAGAAAAUAGAAAUUCUUAGAUCUGUGACAUUACAGAAUAUCUGAUUUAGAAAAUAAUAUUGAUUUUGUCUACUGAAUGUAAUUUUAGUUUUAGUUCUAAAGCACUUUAUGUUUUCGCAGCUCCAAGAAGGUUUCUGUUUCGUAACACAUUGGGUCGGUUUCAGAGUGAGGAGGUAUUUUUCAGUUUAACAAUCAAGAUGCAUCCCUUACCUAUGUUGUUACGUACUGCUCCUCCCUAUUUGUGCUGCAUAACCUACUCUCUGUUUCUUGUAACUUGAGUUCAUUUUGGACAUUCUAUCUUGAGAUCUUAGGCAGUUGUGUGUUAAAAGUAGUAAUUUUUCCCUAGUGCAUAUUCUGUUGUUUGUUUCACCAUUUUACAUGAAUACUUGUGAAGGCUCGGUAUGCAAGUGCUGAGAAGAAUGUGAAGGACUUGAACCUUUCAGUAGAUUUACUGAAGAAGGAGAGCAUAAAAUUGCUUGAAAGGACAACUCUUGCUGAGAAGGAAAUGAAGUAUGGGCAUACCGAACUAACGUAUGUAUUAUCAGUUAAGCAAAGGACGUUUUGUUAUUUGUUUACAGCUGAAGCAUGCCUGAAUGUUCAAUUUCAAUAAUGUACAGGAUCACUGGAGCCCAACUUCAACGGCUGGCAAAAUCAUCAUACAAGGUUGAAGCCCAAGCUGCUGGUAUGCUAUCUUUUAUAUUUUAGAAAAUCACCAAAAAGCAACUUCUGAUAAAUAAUACCAUCAUAGAAAAAUAUUCAUAUUUUUCCCGUGCACAAGUCAUAUUUUAAACACUUAAAGAAAAUUUAACACAAUUUGCUCUCUUGUCUUUUUUUAAUUAUUGUUCUUUUUCUUCUUCUUUAAAAUAGGAUUUCCUUCUAUACUUCUCCCUUGAAUGAAUGGUCAUUUUGGUCCGUGAAAAAAAUUGAUCGACGUUUAAAUUGUCCAAAUCUGACGUCAGGAUUAACUUGAUUACACAUUCAAAAACUUGUUAACGUAUUUUCUUCUUUCAGAGACUAAGUUGAUUAUUCACUCUUCUCCCUUUCAUAUUUGUUUGGGAAUGUGUAAUGAUAUCUAUGGAUGUCGUUUUGGAAUUUACUUCGUCUUAUCAUGCUGUAGAUUUAAUAGACAGGCUGCGGCAUAUACCUAGUCGUGAAGCACUGACACUUCGAGCUGAGGCAAGGCUAUGACUUUAUCUGUUUUUCUGUGUUUCCCAUAAGUCCAGUUAUGUUACAUUACUUACUGUUUGUUUGCUUUGUCUCCACUACAAACACGUGAUCAGGUUGCCUCUUUGGCUUCAACAUUGAAGCGGCAGAGAUCUGCGAUGGAUAAACGGAUAAUGAAGAUCUCCGAGUUAGGGAUUGCUGUGUGAAGUUUUGGACCUUCUCAAUAUGCACACCCAUCUUAGUCAUACUCAUUUUCUUGAAUAAAUGUUGGGGCAUCCGCAUACAACUAUAUACUUGUAAUGCAGACCCAUCUACUGGGCGGAUUUUUUUUUUCUUUAGUAAAUUCAGUGAAUAGGUGUAACUGGAAAAUGUUUUUUUUUUUUUUUUUUUUACUUUAGUAAAUUCAGCAAAUGAGUACACGAUAAAAUGCCACACUUACAUGAGAAUACACAUCAUUAAUAUGGCAAAUAUGCCAAUAAAAUACAUAUAUGAUGCAUCACAAGACUUACCUAAUGUUUAACUCAACAAAGACGAAACCAGGAUUUAUUUUUUCUCCUGGAACGUAAAUAUGAAUGUCAUUUAGGUAAGUAUAUGGGGCCUAUUUAUCAAUCUAGAUCUCCUUUAAACUCCUACAAGUACGUCCUAGACCAUUGUGCGAUAUUCAAGUAAGUAGGUAUACUUUUAAGUUAAUAUAUGUUUUUUGGAAUGUUUCUUGCUACCACCUCACAUCUAUCAUGUCACCUUUAAAUUUAAAAAAUCUGAAAAUACUCUUAAAUAUUAAAUAUGAUAGAGUUAUAUAUGUAUUUAAAUUUAUAAUUCUUGGAGUUGAAAUUUGGGUUCUCAUUCAAUAAUAGACUUAGCUUAUUUCCUCUGUAACCAAAAAAAAAAAAAGACUUAGCUUGCUUACUACACUAACACUUUAUUGAUUAUUCACACAACUCCUCUAAUCCAUGAUGCCUAUAAAAAAAAAAAACACAACUCCUCUAACUUGCACUAAAAACCCACAUUCAUUCAUGCUAUCUUUAAAUUUGAAAAUCCAAAAAUACCCUUACAAAAAUUUCUGCUCACACUUUUAAAAUGCGUUAUGUACGUACUUUGAAAGUUAUGCAUGCACUUUAAAGUGCAUUAUGUACGAACUUUAAAAUGUGAGCACACCGGUUAAUGUUAAGUUUGUAACUCUUGCAACUUGUGUAACUCUCAAUUUCUUAUAAACACAUGUUAAACAUUAUUUUUACUGUUAAUUUCUAUGCUUCAUCAGAUGCCAUAUAUAGGGGUUCAUGUGUCUCUCUUUCUCACACAAUUCUAUUAUGCUUUUCUACUAUGCUUUCUUUUAGUUUCUUCUUCCUUGGGUACAAUGUAUGAGGCUGGGUUCCUUGUAUUUCAUUCUCAACAUUAGCACGUAUGUCAUGUCUGAUGUUGGAUAUUCCGAUUCAGAUAUGCAAACGUGCUAUUGUAGGUGUUCAAUAUCCUUUUUCAGAUAUGACAAACGUUUGAGUAACGUGCGACUCAGCCCAUAAAUGUGAAAGUAGGGGUGCAACCCAAUGAAGAAAAUGAGUAAGUAAUUAAAAGUUGUAUGUGAAUAUUUUAUGUGGUUGUUAGAGUAUUUUCCAUAUCUUCUAUAUGGUUAUGGUGAAAUGUCAUAGUCAUAAUUUUUUUUACUAUUGAGUUUUCCCACUAUGCUUUGGAGUCUGCGUUCAAACUGAGUAGUCCGAUAACGAUCACAAUGUGGAUCUGGACACUUUUAAAGAGUCAAUGUAUCUAUACCUUUUCAAGGGUUUUGUUUUGUAUAUAAUGAUAUUUGAUACAAUUUUGAAGUGAUGUAAAUAAUUGAAAUAUAAGAAUUUAUUUGUAAGAUUUUAUUUUGCAUAGUUUUUAUGAUGGAUUAAUCUCAAAUUGGUCCAUAUCUUUGUCUCGCCGUCUGACCUAGGUCCCUCAACGGAAAAAUUAUUGAAAAAGUUCAUCUUCUUUGUAAAUCGUUUGAAGCAAGUCCUCGUCGGAGCGAUAAUUUAGCAUGCUAAUUGUGUUAGUGAAACUUACAUAAAUUUAAAAAAAAUAAAAUAAAAUUACACAUCAUAAAUUAAAUUAAAUUAACAAAAUUAAAUUACAUUAAGAACCCAUAUUAACCCCAAUUCUAAAUCCCUAAAUACACCAACACUUUAUUGAUACUUACUCACACAACUCCUAUAACUUGCACUAAAAAUAAGAGAAGAGUGUAAUAAAAUCAGAAGUAACCUCAUUAUAGUUCAUUUCACUUGUACGGGUACACUAUUUAAUGUCGACGCUGAAGUUAACCUCCAGGUAUAAGUCAUUCCAAACUUGCACAUACAUACAGUAAUUAAGUAAUUACCACCACCAAUACAAUCCCCGCAGCUCAAAACAAAUUGACUUUGUAGCGGUGAAAAUAAAGAUCACAUCAAAUGGAUCUGCGAACAAUAGCCUCGCCUUAUGUGCUCACAUCGGGAAUUACGUCAUCGUACUCCUUCUACUACUACUAGCUCCAGUCAUUCAUUCACACAUUCACUCAUUCAUUCAUUCCACUCCCGAUUCCGAUUCCGAACGAAACCCUUGGAUUCGGCGAUGCCGCUUUAUUGUUAACAAUCAGAUCUAGAUAACUUCAUUGAGUAGCGGCGCGGCGGAGAUGGAGGGGAAUUCCGGCGGUGGUGGUGGUGGCGGAAGCGGCGGUGGAGGUUCUGAUGUGGAGCUUCUGUGCAAGACGUUGCAGGUGGAGCACAAGCUGUUCUACUUCGAUCUGAAGGAGAAUCCUCGCGGUCGCUACCUCAAGAUUUCGGAGAAGACUUCUGCUACGAGGUCCACCAUCAUCGUUCCGUUCUCCGGCAUUUCCUGGUUUCUCGAUCUCUUCAAUUACUAUGUUAACUCUGACGAUCAAGACCUCUUCAGUAAGGAACUGCAGCUUGACACCAAGGUAACUCAACCCACCCUCACUCUUCAAUUCAGCUCCAAAGAUUUCAAUCUCACCACAUUGAUUGUAGUGUUUUUAUCAAAUUGAUUUGUUAGAGAUGCAUAAUUGUUGCCAAAUUUAGAGUAAACAAUCAAUUUUCAUUUGCAGGACUCAGGUAGUAAGUAGUAUACAAAAGUAUGAAUUUGGUAACAAUUUCGCUUAAUUGCACCUCCGAUUGCUCGUUCGCGAUUCGCUUUAAGUGGGGACCAAAAGUGCAAUUAAGCCUAACGAUUUUGUAUCUUUGACCGACUAAUUUGAUGAAAAGCAUUCAUUUGAUGGAGGCCAAACUGACAGAUUUUUCCUUUUGUUUUUCAGGUUUUUUACUUCGACAUUGGGGAGAAUAGGAGGGGCCGCUUCUUAAAGGUACUUGUUACUUGAAUUAGGUUUAAUAUGCUUUUUAUGUUUGUUGGUUUGAUGACUAUUGUUCUUGACUUUAUUUUUUCCACAUAGACAUGUCAGAGUUUUGCAGUGGUAUGUUUCUGUAUUGCUGCAGAGGGAAGGUCAAAACAUCUAGGAUUUGUAGAGUUUACAAUUGGUGGUUUUAGGCUUUUAGCAUGCAUGUUUUUUCAUGAGCUAUAAGGAAAUUUAGUUAAUGGCAUUGAAGGUGUUGUGAUCAACCAAACCCUGGUAUGAAAAGGUGGAAAAUGAAUAGCAGGUUUUACCAUUUCAACUUGUUUAUCAGUUGGAAAGAGCCUGAUAUAUAUAACAGGUUAGGGAUAUUAAUAACCUUAGGAUUUGAAUGAAGAUUUUCUUUUUCUUUUUUAAAUCAAAACUAGGAAUGUGAAACAAAAAUGUAAAUGUGUGGUAAUUGAUUGGGCUGCUGCUUGUUAGACAUUCCUAAAUAGUUGCUUGAAUGCAUAAUACUACUUUAAGCUCUUGGAAUUACACACUCUUCCUGGUCAAUGGUUUAUAUGCAAGCAUUUUGCUCUGCAGAUUUUUUUGUAGAAUUAUUUUGGUAAUGGUGGAAACAAAGUGCUUGCAUAUAAACAUUGUGGAUUUGUAUGGCUUGAACUCUGAAAGUAAAGGCCUGAUUACAAUGAGAAAAAGAGAACCUUAUGGAAGUGAGCUUUAUCUGUAAAAAUCAUGCCUUGGCAGAUUUCUGAUUUAUCUUAGCAUUGACUUCUGAAGCUUAGUUUUUAGAUGUUUGACUGAAUCUCUUAAGGUUGCAAAAAGCUGUAUCUUGUUUUGCAUCUAUUUGGGCUUACCUAAUUUUAUUGUGGAAUUUCUAUCUUAGGAUGAAUAUUUUAUGUAUGUUUUUUUUGUGUGUCAAGAUUAUGAUUCUAAUUUAUUUUUGAAGGUGUCGGAGGCUUCUGUAAGCAGAAACCGUAGCACUAUAAUUGUUCCUGCAGGAAGCUCCAGGGACGAAGGGUGGGCUGCAUUCAGAAACAUUUUGGCAGAGAUUAAUGAGGCAUCAAGGCUUUUCAUUAUGCCCAAUCAGGUUUCCUUAAUUUGCAUGUAGACAUUUUUUGUAGUUCCAAUUUAUCUUCUAGGAUCUGUUUAAUGUCAUCUAAUUGUUUGUAUUGCACAGCAGCAAAAUUCUGAAUCCUCAGAGCGUCUUGUCGGACUUUCGGAUGAUGUUGGUGCUGGCUUCAUAUCUGGUCAUAGUACACAACCUGCAACCUCUUCUGAAUUGAAUGUGGACAGGUCUGUUGAUUUACCAGCUCAGGAUGAAAUUGGAAACUUGGGGGUCUCAAAAGUUAUCAGGGCUGAUCAAAAAAGAUUCUUCUUUGAUCUUGGGAGCAAUAACAGGGGUCAUUUCUUAAGAAUAUCUGAGGUUUGUUGCCAUUGUCUUAUUGUCCUUUACCCUUUAUUAUGUUUUAGUGUUCGAAUAUGACUUUCUGCUUUAAAUUCUUGUUAUUUCAUUGCAGGUUGCAGGUUCUGAUCGUUCCUCCAUCAUCCUUCCUCUGUCAGGGCUCAAGCAGUUUCAUGAGAUCGUUGGUCACUUUGUUGAAAUCACCAAGGACCGAAUCGAGGGAAUGGCAGUUGCAAAUGUCCGCACAGUUGAUCCCCCUCAAAGAUGAGUGCUAACAUAUGGGGUUUUCUGUGACAACAAGUAGUCACUCUCGGCCAAGGUUUCGUUAGGGAAUGGGUGUUAUCGCUGUAUCUGAUUGUGCUAUUUUUAUUUUUAUUUUUCCUCAGCCUUCUCCUUCUCAUGUCAUCUUCAAUUAAUGCUUUUGAAAUAAUCCAAACACUGGUUGGUUGGUUAGCAGAAUAAAUGGAAUAUCUUGGCAAGGUCAAUAUGAAUAGGAAAUAACAAAAGAGAAAUGAACCAGAGACUUGUAUUUGUUUGGAUAGUUUGGCACCCGGUCUAUAUGUUGUAAUAAUGAUUGUUUAAUUAUUUUGCUUUGCUGCACAGUUUUCACAUGGAUUUAAAGUUCUCAUACAGGCUGAGGUAUCAACCACCAUGCGUACCAUAUUUUUAGGUUCGAUGAUUGGCUUCCUCCUUGCUUAAACUUAGCUUUCAUAGUUUUACCAUCAUUUAUCUGUUUUUUUUUGUCAAUUCAUUUAUCUGUUUCUUGUGUAUCUAAACUUGGGCCAAAACUAUUUGGACCAUCCUCAUUUACUAUCCACACCAUCCUUUUGAGCAAAAAUACAAUUAUACCCCCAGACUUAAAAAAAACUGAAUCAAUCAAACAGGAAAAGAAAACUUCUCCCCACACCAUCUCCCUCUCUCACGGUUUCUCUCUUUCUCUCGGCCCUUUCAUUCUCAACUUUCCCAAAUGAAAAAAAAAAAAAAACCGUAGCCACCACCCUGAUCUUUGUUGGAGAAGGAAGGAAGGAGGAAGAAGGAUCUUGAAGAAGUUGGAGAAGGAAGCAAGAAGAAGAAGCAAAGGAACAAGAAAGAGGAAGAAGAGGAAGAAGGAGAAGUCAAACAUCAUCUUGACAAAAUCGCUUGGUUUCCCGAUCUGUUUCAAUACACAAUUUAAAUUGCGGUAGCUUUAUGCUUACGGCAAUUUAAAUUGGGGUAGUACUAUGUUCCUCUGUUUUUCUGUUCCUUGAUAUCCUUUGGGUUUUUGAAUCGCAAAAUCGGGUUGUGUUCGUGAGCCUUGGACAGAACAUAAGAGAAAUCGAUUUCUAAAACCUUCUGUUAAAUUCAAAACCUGCCUGCUAUGUUCCACUGUUGGAUCCGCAAUUAAAAUUGCGAUAGCUUUAUCCUUUCCGUCAUUUUAAUUGCAGUAGUGCUAUGUUUCUGAUUGUUUGAUCUGCAAUUAAAAUUGAGUAAACUACCGCAAUUUAAAUUGAGUAAACUACCACAAUUAAAAUUGAGUGAACUACCGCAAUUUUAAUUGAGUAAACUACCGCAAUUUAAAUUGCGGUACCUAUAAAAUGUCCGCAGUUUAAAUUGCGGUACGAACCAGAACCCAGAUUUUCACGAAAAACGGUAAAAUUUCAAAAAUGACACCUUUUUUGAGCUUCUAUUCUUCUCUUUAUCUCACCCUUUGACGUUUACACUGACUUGAAGCUUCAAAUACCUCUAAAGUGUGUGAUAUGUUGAUUUAGAAUAUGAAAUAGGGAUAUGGGGAAGGUGAGAGUGGAAGAGGAAGAAGGAAGAAGGAAGAAGGAAGAAGGAAGAAGGAAGAAGAAAUGGGGUUGGGAGAGUAUUUUUUUCCCUGCUUUUAAUGUUUUAUACGUUGGGGGUGCUUUUAGGAUUAAAAAAAUAAGGGAUGGUGUGGAUAGUAAUUGGGGAUGGUCCAGAACCCAGAUUUAUAAGUCACUUUUAUCUAAUUAUCUAGAAUUAAGAAAAGUAGUUGCUAGCAAUAAAUUAGUAAAAAAAUUUAUCAACUUUCCUAGAUUGCCCCAUAAAUUUCUCUCUCCAAAUUUAUUUUCUUCAAAGUCACACCAUCUCUUUCAUACUCCCUCUGUUCCUAUUUAUCUGUCCAGGUAGAGAAGGUUCACACAAAUUAAGGAAAGCAAUUAAUUGUGUUGAUUUUCAUAAAAGUAUUAUUUGUUUUCCUAUAUCACCCUUUAGAAUGUAUUUUAUCUUUCUUCAUUUAUUGUUUCUGUAAGGGCAUUUAUUGGAAAAACAUCAAUUAAUGCUCUCUUGAAACUCUAAGUGGACAGAUAUAUAGGAACGCAAUUUUUUCUUCAAAGUGGACAGUUAAUAAGGAACGGAGGGAGUAAUAAAUAUGAGGGUAAUUUUGGAAAAGGGAAUUAAAUGAUGCAUUGGUCUUAUAAAGUGACUUAUAUUUUAGGAUAAAAAAAACUCUAAAAAUGUGACUUAUAAAUGAGGACGGAGGGAGUAACUCAUUUCUCUAUCUUCUCUUCAUAUUUAUCAAAGGUGGAAGUGGAAAAGAAUUGUAAACACAACAUCAUUCAAUUAGUGGAGAGGACGAGUUGAGGAGUUUUGAUUUUGUGUGUGUGUGUGCAGUGAGCGUAAUCGAUAGAAGCAGGUAAAAAUAAUGGUCCAAAUUUCGACUUUUUUCAGGAGUCCAUAUUAGAUAAACCCCUAAAAUAAAUUAAGGUAAAAUAUGGAUUACACAUAAUGUUUCACUAAUUUUCAUAUUCAUUUUAGGUGUCUAAAGUCUCUGCAAAUGUGAGGAAAGUCCUUUAAGUGGAGCUUCCGGGUGCACAAUUGCCUUGGUGUCGUCGUGCUUAGGUAGUUUAUCUCGACCUUGCGUAAGACUGCACCACCACUUUUCUAGUUUAUAUGAGGUGGUCCGUGACUGAACCAGGUUACGUUGGCCGCUUUUAUGGUGCUUGCUUAAGAGCAAGCCCUGGUGGGCCGACCCAAUGUCGUCAACUAUUAUUUUGAUUUUUGUUUUCAUUGGCGCCGUCUUUCUAGACAUUCGUGCCGACCAUACUGUUUUCUACAUUCAUAUACUUCGUUGAGGGCCUACGAAACUCAUAUAUGUCUUGCGGUGACGUCUUGGCUGGUGAAGUAUGGAAAUACGUUCUCACUCUUAUUGCUUCAUAUAUCAGAUGAAGCUUCACCUUCAGGUCCAAACUUGUAAUGAGUGUCGCUUCUAUGUAGAAUUUCCUUAGGAAGUCUUGCAACGACUCCUUAUUUCCUUGCUUUAGUUUUUCUAAGGUAUGUGAGAUUUUAGGUAGACCUUUGCUUGUAAUGAAGUGGUGAGCGAAUUGUUGAUAAAAAAAUUUCCAACUUCUUAUUGUCUCAGUUUGGAUGAAGAGACUAGUACAAUAAGAAGAAAGUUGCGCCGUGAAUCACCCACUGCAUUGAAAGUAAAAAGUUUGACAGAUUUUCGGUGUAAUUCACUGUCGGGUUUGCUUCCCAAUAUUAACACAGCUUGUUUACACGGAUUUUUGGUAAACAAAUAUCCUCUUAGUUCGACUAAAGGAAGUUUAGAUUCGGGGUCCUUUUGAGAAAACGCUUUGCCAAAGUGUAGUGUGUGAACGAGUGUAUUCUCGACAAUAAUAAACAACUCAAACGAAACUGGACUUUAUUGAGUAUGAGUCGAUUACAAAACAGUCAAGCAAACUUAAAAUAGCAUGAAAGCAAAUUUCGACAAAACAAGUUACACAUAAGAACUGGGAAUUAACAAACUGAAAUACAAGGAAAUUAAAGCGUUGGUUCUGCAAUAUACUCCUCCAUCAUCACGUUCUGCUCUCGAAGUCUCAUUGAUGCGGACGUUUGGAGCUUUUGGUGAAUUUUCAGAGUUUUUAGUUGGGAACCCUUUCUUCUGCUGCUGCUUCCUCUAUUUAUACUGUUCUUUCUGCCCAUGUUCUUGGCGGUUUUACUUGGAUGCACGAUGGCUUCGUGGGUUUUGAAUUUUGGCGCCAUACCCCACGUUUAGCCGAUGGUCUUCGCGCACGUGACUCUAUUGCCACGUGGAUGGUUCUGAGUCGCGGGCAACCGUUGCUAUUCGUGGCAUCGUGGGUGUACGCACGUGCUUGUAAUCGCUUGUUAUUCGGUAACUGCCCCUUCCAUUAAGAUGAUCGAGAUUUCUUCAUCUUCUGAGUGUGUCGAGUUAUGGCUUUUACUAACUUGUCUUUGAGGGACAUCGUGUGCUGAGUUGCCGGCUUCGCCCAACCCCUUCUGUCGAGAAACCACUUUUUGCACCAUGGUGUCGAUAAUUGUAAUGCUUGUAAUUUUGGCUUAACAGUUGCCCCCGAAAAAUGUUGGUUGUCGACUGCUUUAGCUCAAAGACACCAAGCAUUUUUUCUUAUCGCAGCCGUUCGAUUCCAACGAUUCAAAUGCUUUGUGCUCUCGACCCUUUGAUCUUCAAGUCCAAUCGGCAGCCAUAACGUCUGAUGACUUCUCCACUAGCUGACAGUUAUAGCCUUUUUAGGGCCAUGAUUUCACCUAUGCCAAAAAGCUGAGAGGUGACAUGAAUUAACUAAUAAAAUAAUCGCUUGGAACCCAAAAUUUUUAUAAAUUGCUGCUCAAUGCGGCUUGGGUUCCGUUUUCCCUUCCGUUUAUAAAUACCCUCUUGGUAUUCCUUGUUCAAGCUUUACUCUUUCAUCCAACCUGCAACUUCUUCUUCCAGACUUCAUCACUUCAUCUUCUUCCGUCUUCUCUGAAAUACUUGCUGCGUCUUUCAAUGGCUUCCAAUCCUGAGCAAACCAUUCCGUUGGCCACCGAGCUUAAGCUGGAUGAGUCCAAGCGCGUGCCAAUCCCAGAACCUCCCAACGAAGCAAAGAAGAGAGCUAUCUGGAAAUCCCAGGUACUCAUUCCUUUCUCUGUUAAUGGUACUUUACGCGCCAUUUUGGGCCCUUUGAAAGUAGUGAAGCAUGAUAGGCCCAAUAGUCUCCCUGAAGAACAUGAAUCAUUUCACCCUAGCGUUAGGGGAGAGGAGCUCAUUUUGGCAUUUCAACCCUCUUACCGUAUGCCAUUUCUUUCUGACCCAAAACGAGCCUUUCGUUCAGCCCCUCCUAACCCUUCUGCUAACGACAAGGCCUACCUGAAAUGGUUAGAUAGAGUUGAGGGAGAUAAGAGACAACACUGGAAGGAUGUAGGGAUUUUCGACUUGAUUCAGUUGUCGAGAUCUCCAAUCUCGUAUAACCCUGCUAUGCUGUUGAGUGCACUUUAUUUCUGGGAGAGGUCCACUAAUUGCCUUCAUGUUCCCUUUGGUAUGAUCACCCCCACCCUCUUGGAUGUUGCUGCUAUCACCGGAUUGUGGCCCAUUGGUGAUGAUUAUCACUCUGCACCUGCUCCUGUUAAACCCAUCUCGAUCCCUACUGACAACGUUUCUUUUAGUCGAUUCAUUAAGGACCAUUAUGUCGAGAGUGGUGAGGUGUCUGAUGCUGAACAUGUCGCUUUCUUGCUGUAUUGGCUGUCUGCUUAUGUCUUUUGCACCAAAUCUUUGCGCAUACCUGCCAAGCUUUUGCCUUUAGCCAAUCUGCUUCAUGAGGGUCGACAACUUGCUAUGGCUAGGCUCGUCCUUGGCAACCUGUAUCAAAUGCUGAAUGAAGCUGUCGAGGAUAUCCGGAACACUAAGACCGUCUCUCUGAAUGCGGCUGGACCACUUUAGCUGUUUCAACUUUGGUUGAAUGCAGUCUUCGAAUCGCUUCUGCCGGUACAAGAUAAUCCUCUAACUGUUUCUAACACCAGGAUUGAUGCCCAUAGGCUCGAGACCCUGACCCCUGCUUAUGAUGCGUCGAGUACUUUACCAUGUUUCUCGAGCUGAAACACUACCGUUCCAGUUUCUCUCCUUACAGCAAGGCUAUUCGUGGCCCUUUCUGGCUGAGGAAUUCUUAUCCUAAUGCCUCUGAUUCUGCGCUGCCCAAGGAGCACCACAUCACACUUUGGAGGACCCUCUUAUCUCCUAGGGUUUUAACUGUGGGCUUUGCUAGCAGUGACUACACUCUAUGUGGCUACAACCCUCAAUUGGUUUCUCGACAGUUUGGGCUUAGCCAAGUUCUACCCAACACUUUAUUUGACAAGAGUCUAGUCCUGUACCCCGGAACUAUUAAGAGGGUUUCUGUUUUCGACAAGACUGUUCAAUUUUAUAACAAGAGACUCCUCAACCUGAGCCCCUUCACUUACGCUCCUUCAUAUUAUGCCACUAAUGCUUUCAAAGCCUGGUGGUCUGAGUAUUGGGCUCAAAUUUCGAAGCCCCUCGUCGAUUGUCUGCAAUGCAUGACAGAUACUUUUCUUUUGCAGAAGCAGGAUCCGAAGAAGACCAAAGGUAUGCACCUGGCAGAAAUUCGAUCUUUUCAAGAGUUCUUUGGUGUGGUAUAUUACCCAACUCUUCGCCUUCGAGAUACAGUUGCGCAAGCAGCUCAAGUAUUAAGGCAAAAAUGGGAACUUAAAGCCAAGAAAUCCAAGUUAGUGGUUCCUCCUGGUGAGGAAGGUCUAUCUUUUGUUAUUCGAAAAACUGGCUUUAGGUUCCCGUCUUUGCCUACGAGUAAGUUUGCAUUGGCUUUUCCACCGAUCUUGCCUAAAUGGGUUGAUCAUGUAAACAUAAAUGUAUUGGCCAAUCAAGCUCUACCUCCUCGAAAGCGAGUGACUUGGACUAAGUACCACCUAUGGAACUUUCCGUAUCAUGUGCCCGUCGAAAUCUUCAACCACAUAUCGCUGAACAUGCGUAUUGGUCAAGGUAAUACUUCGACUUGGCCUUGGUUUUCCUGUUUUACUUCUUAAUUUUUCUUUUGUUUGCAGCUGAAGUCAUUAUUUGACCAGCUCCUCAAGUUAUUUCCCCAGUGGCUCAUUCCUCCAAGGACCAGCCAGUCGUGAUCGAGGAUGAUGAUGAUGAUGAUGAGGAUGAUGAUGUCAGUCUUGCUGACAAGCUCAAGGUACUUUCCUCAUGCUUUUACCUUUUCCUUUUCGAUUUCCUUGGAUUAUGGGCUGACGUAUGUUUCGACAGAGUCGGAAACGGAAACCUAAGCCUGUUGCUUCGGCCAGUCAGAAGAGGGCCAAGGGGGUUGGUGUUUCCACCCCUAGUGGGGCUUCUAAGUUGGCAUCUGAUGCCCAAACAGAAGUCGCUGACAAAGAGGGUGGUGGCGACGCCGCCAUUCAGGUAUGUUCUCCAUUCUCGAGGGUACCUUGUGAUAUUUUUAACCCGUGGUUUCCUAAUCUGAGUCAUCUCUUGUUUGUUUUGUUUCCUUUAGACUGAUGUUCAUGAGCACUCUACUUCCAAUCCUCCAUCCCGUGAGAAUUCCCCAGCUCCCAUUCCUGCAAGAUCCAAAACUGAAGGUGUCGAGAAACCUCCCAAGGCCGCAUCCUCAGCUAAAAAGACCUCCACAUCUAAGGGAAGGAGGAAGGUCAGGAGCAAAUCUCGUCAUAAGUCUCCUCGCCGUUCCAGAAGCUCCACCAACUCGAGCCCUUCUAAAGACUCUGCUUGCCAGGUAUCUUUAUACUUUUCAUGUUUUAUUGACUCCUCUAAUAUACGUUUUACUUUAUCGAAAGGGCAUUAAAGAGGUUUUUCUUGCAGGAGACUCAGGGUGCAACUUCUCCCAUCCGCGAAACAGAGCCUCUUCCAGGCAAGGAUGAUAGCCCUAUGCCUCCUCCAAUAUCGACUGCCACUGUGCAACAUUCGCCUAAAAUCAAGGGUGGCUCUUCAUCUCAUGUGUCUAGUGAAAAGCUCGACACUUUAUUUGAGGAGGACCCGCUGGCAGCUUUGGAUAGCUUCCUCGAUGGCACCUUGGAAUGGGACUCUCCACCCCGUCAAGCUGAUGCUACUGCUGAGACUGCUCAAUCAAGUGGGGUAGCCAAUUCUCAGCAGAUCGAGGAGAGUAUGGGUCGGCUGAAGGCUAUUGUCUUCGCCAAUGGGUUUCUCGACCAGAUCCAAGCUGAUCCUCAAGCGAGCCAUGCUGCUAAGGAAUUGCUUGUCUUCCUUCUUGGCCAAAAACUCGAUUCUCAACAGGUUGCUGCUUUGGCUAACCUUCAAUCUUUUUUAGUGGAUGCUUCAGCCACCUUUCAUCAAAUCAAGGAUGUUGGUCAAGCUGUCAGCUUUAAGGAGGCAAAAGUCUCUGCUGGUAAAGCUCAAGUUGCAGCAAUGAAAGAGGACUUCAAGAAGUUCACUGCUAGGAAGGUUUUGAUCGCAGAUGAAAUCUCUGAAGUCGACAUCAAACUUGAAGAACUGCAUCGAGAGAUUACCAAACUGGAGAAAAAGCGAGCUGAUUUGGUCGAGGAAGGCCCUGCUGUAAAGGAUCAGUUGGACGUGCUUACUAAAGACUCCAAGGCUCUGAUCAUCUCGACAAAAGAGGUUAUCAAGGAAUUGGAGAUUGAUCAGGCUGUGAAGAAGGGUCUCGAUGCCAAGAUUGCCACCUUUGCUGAUUGUUUGAACUCUUUUAAGACCCUGCUGUAGGACUCUUUUUUGUUUAUUAAUAUGUAAUGAUGGCACUAUUCUAACCAUGGCCUUCGAUGCCAAUUGCGUGUAAUAUUUCGACAAUGGUUUUGGCACCUAAGCCAUAUAAUUUGACGUUUAAUUUGCCAAGUCUUUUCAGUUUCCACUACGCAUUUAUUUUGACGGCUAUUCAUUUAUUGUUGCAUCGCUCAAACUUCCUUGCACCCCCUCACACAGUCGUCGCUUUGUUUCUGGGGAAUGAACCAAUUUAUUGCAAUCUUAUACCACGUUUUCUUGAUUCAAUGCAAGUCUUUGUUCAUUAAAAGCCAAAGCUAUUCACGAUGGUGGUGGUAAUCUGCAUGGCCUGUAACCGUAAGAUGAAGAUUUGGCAACUGAUUGCCACUAAUUAAUGCAUUCCUUGGUUGUUACCCUAUAAAUAGAGCGUUUUUGGUUACUCCUUUUCAGUAACUUCUCCAAACUCUCCCUUGUUUCUUUUCCAGAAUUCUUUUCCUGCUUUCAUAAAUCCCUUCAGCCAUGGCUAGCCGUCGUGUUCUCAACCAGAUCCGGAACUUGGCUUUUGAUCAAGACUUAUUCUGGGAGUUGCACUCUUUCCUCCCUUUGGCUGAAGAGCUUACGGGGCUCAUUAACCAACUUCUUUCGAGGAAUAUUAUUGCCUCGGUAAGAAUUCCUCUUCAGGAGUUCUUGAGCCUCCUGCAUGAAGCUGUACCUCUAUAUGAAGAACACCGGGAGCUUACUGCUCGAGUGUUCUUUGCUGAACACCAGAUUGAUGAGAAGAUGGAGGAGUUUGAGGAGUUGAAGGCUGCUCUUAGCCAGGCGAACCUCGAGGGGAGUGUGGGAGCUCUGAAACCCUUGGUGGACAAGCUUUCUUCUACUGCCCGUGAAGAGCUGGAUAUUCGACAGGAGAAAUCGCGACUGGAAUCCCAACAAGAAGAUGUCUUGAGGCGCAUAGAGCCUCUUAGGGCCAGAUACAAUAGUUGUAGGGCCAACCCUCCUUUUUAAAAUUUCUUUGCCAUAGUUGUAAUGCUCUAUUCUAUUCAAUAAAACAUUCGCAUUUGGCAAUUUAUUCUCUUUUACUUCUUUAUUCGAUGUUUAUCUCAUGCAAUGUUGGCUUAUACGUUUUUAAAUAUUUGCCAUUUAUCGUCAUUUGUCGAUUACCUCCUAAUUCCUUAAUCGAAUAAGCGUUGUUUAAAAGUACUUUCUCGACUGAAAAAGGGCCUUCCCAGUUUGGGGACCAUUUUCCGUAACGUUUAUCUUUUUUAUCAAUUGGUAAGACGACCUUCCAUACGUAAUCACCAAGCAUAAAAGAUUUAGCUCUAACCUUUUUGUUAUAAGCUUUAGCAAUGCGAUCCUUUUGCCUGGUUAAGGUAUCCAACACCAAUAAUCUUUCUUCGUCGAGAUUGACUAAUUCGUCAAGCAUCAUACUCCAAUAAUCUUCACUUGGAAUUUCCUCUUGCCUUUGAAUUCUGCAUGACUGUAAAUAUACUUCUACUGGUAGUACCGCUUCUUGACCAUAUGCUAGUCGAAAAGGCGUUGCUCCGGUAGAUUCCUUAGGUGAAUUCCUGUAAGCCCAAAGCACUUGGCCUAACGUUUGAUGCCAGUUUUUAGGUUUUCGACCAACAUGUUUUUUAAUCAAGGAGAUCAACGUUUUGUUGGCCGCUUCGACUUGACCAUUCGCUUGAGCAUAAUAGGGGGUCGAGGUUAGGAGUUUUAUACCCCAAGAUUCUGCGAAUGAUGCUACCUUUUGGCCUACAAACACUGUGCCUUGGUCUGUAGUCAGUGACUCAGGUAGCCCAAAGCGGUACACUAUGUGAUUCUGAAUGAACUCGAUCACCGUGUCCUGGGUCACAUUUUGUAGAGGAAUUGCCUCUACCCACUUGGUAAAGUAAUCUAUAGCCACUAUGAUGUACUUAUGCUGCCUAGAAGAACAUGGGUUAAUUUCGCCAAUUAGGUCUAAAGCCCAACCCCUGAAUGGCCAAGGCUUAAUGAUCGAGUGUAGUUCACUUGCUGGCACAUGUUGUAUCCCCGCGUGUCUCUGACAAUCUUGGCACCUCUUGGCAUACUCCAUACAAUCUUUCAUAAUAGUAGGCCAAUACAUCCCUUGUCGAAAUAGGAUCCAUUUCAUCUUGAUUCCUGCCUGGUGGGCACCACAUAGCCCGUCGUGAACGGCUGAGAUCGCUAUGAACGCGUCGUCUUCACUUAAACACUUCAGUAGUGUUCCGUCGACGUUUUUCUUGAAUAGCUCGUUUCCCAUGAUGACAUAGCUCAUUGCCCUGUAUUUUGUCUUUCUAUCUGUAGUACCCACAGGAUUUUGCAAGUAAUCGACAAUUGGCUUUCUCCAAUCAUUAGGUGCCAUAUUGUCAAUGACCAGGAUGUCGAGGUUAGAGGGGUUUAGUUUUUCUUUGACCUCGAUAAGCUCUUUUAACCUACAUUUAUCGACCGUAUAUCCUGACGCGAUUUGUGCUAAUUCAUUGGCUUCUUGAUUGUCCACUCUGGAGACGUGACCUAGCCUAGCUUCGUCGAAUUUGGCCAACAAAUUGCUAGCUUUCGUGUAAUACCUAGCUAGAUUUUCACUAAUGCACUUGUAUUCCUUGGUAAGUUGCUUUAUUACCAACUCAGAGUCCCCUUUUACGACGACAUUCUUUGCCCCGAGGGCUAUCAGGAUCUCGAGGCCUGAUGUUAAUGCCUCAUACUCAGCCUCAUUGUUUGAGCAGUUACUCUUAAUCCUAAACUUGAAUUUCGUGGGGAUGCCCCUUGGGGAUACGAUGAACAUCCCGAUCCCAGUGCCAUUUUUAUGGCUAGAACCGUCGAAAAAUAGCUCCCAAGGUUGGAUGCCUACGUAAGUUAUGAUUUCUUGAGGCAAAGUAUGGUCUGCCAGGAAGUCAGCAAUUGCUUGUCCCUUAACCGCCUUCAGUGGGGCAUAAGUUAGUGAAUACUCGGUUAGGGCUAAAGCCCAUUUACCAAUUCGACUAUGCAAGAUAGGUUUGGAUAACAUGUGCUUUAUUAUAUCAUAAUGAGAAAAAACCAUUACAUCGAUUGGCUUUAUAUAAUAUUUCAGCUUUACACAAGAGAAGUACAAGCAUAAACACAAUUUCUCGAUCAUGGUGUAUCGAGUUUCUGCAUCAUUUAACACCCUGCUUAAGUAAAAUAUGGCUCUUUCUUUGCUAUCUUCAUCUUCUUGAGCCAACAUGCUUCCGAUGGUUCCAUCCGUGGCAGAGAUGUACAGCUUCAUUGGCUUUCCUCUUAUAGGUGGUGCCAUUAUAGGUGGGCUAGACAAGUACACUCUGAGUUCAUCGAACGCUUUUUGAUGCUCUGCUUCCCAGCGGAACGCAUCUUCCUUUUUAAGUCGAAGAAGUGGGGAAAAUGACUUGGUCUUCUCACUGAGGUUAGCAAUGAAUCUCCUUAGGAAGUUAAUCUUUCCCAAUAGUGAUUGCAGUUGUUUCUUGCUGGUUGGUGGACUAGUGUCGAGAAUGGCUUUAGCUUUGUUCUUGUUGAUCUCGAUGCCCUUUUUAUGCACCAAAAAACCCAAAAAAUCACCUGCAAUAACACCAAAGGCACAUUUAAGGGGAUUCAUCUUCAAGCCAUAUUUUCUCAUCCUCUCAAAGGAUUUCCUUAGAUGCAACAAAUGGUCAUCCCUUGAUGGGGAUUUCACCACGAUGUCAUCAAUAUAAACCUGCAUGAAGGUUUCUAUAAAAUCAUGAAAAAUGGUAUUGAUUACCCUUUGGUAGGUCGCGCCAGCGUUUUUCAACCCAAAUGGCAUGACCACCCAUUCGUAUGUCCCCAAGGCACUAGGACAUCGAAAAGCUGUUUUCGACACGUCCUCUUCUGCUAUGAAGAUUUGGUUGUAGCCUGAGUAACCAUCCAACAAGCUUAAGUAUUCGUGACCAGCAGCUGAGUCCACCAUCAUCUCAGCAAUGGGCAUGUGAUACUCGUCUUUUGGAGUGGCAGCGUUAAGAUCUCGGAAAUCUAUGCAAACUCUCAUCUUUCCAUUCUUCUUGAUUACUGGAACCACGUUGGCUAACCAGUCCACAUAUCGAGCUGUUCUGAUAAAUUUACACCUGAGGAGUCUUUCAAUUUCUUCCUUGAUUUUCACCAACACAUCUGGAUGGAACCUCCUGGGCAAUUGUUUGACUGGUUUCUUGUCUUCUUUGAUGGGCAACUUCAAUUCCACCACUUCUCGACUGAGGCCAGGCAUUUCAUCGUAAUCCCAAGCAAAACAGUCUUUGAAUUCCUUGAGUAAUUUCACCAUCCUGUCUUUUAGCUCCGGGUCAAUGAGAGCACUGAUGUACGUUGGCCUCUUUUCUAAGCCAUCACCCAGGUUCACUUCUUCUAAAGGGUCUUGCGCUUCCAUUUUCUUGGAAAAAUCGACCACUGGCUUCUCGAAGCCCAAUGCGCCGUCAUCAUAAAUGCAAUCUAGCCUCAGGUUGCAAAGGUCCUCGAAUCCACAUUCCUCGGCACUCCGCUCGUUUUCUUCUAUGCACGUGUCAUCCUUAUUUGUUGUUGCCUCCUCCUGAGGUGUUAAUUCGACGGGCAGGAUUGAGGCAUUGGUUUCGUCAGUAGCCAUUUCUUUGGCUAUUCUUGCGGCCUCUAAGGCCGUCCUUAUUCUUUUUUCGGCUGCGUAAGCCGAAAUUCGAGCUAGGCUCGAGUUAAUCAUCUUUAACCUCAUUUUGCCACUCAGUUGUGGCAUCCUUUUCUUCAUCGCUGUGCCAUCCACUCAUGGCAUCAGGUUUGUAUGCUUCAUUGAGGUUUAGGCCCCAGAUGGGAUCCAGCGUUACUGAGUACUCUGAGUAGGGGUUGAAGUAUUGGCUAGCCACUGUGUCUAAAGGAGCAAUUGUGGCUAAACUCUUCUCGAAAUUCUUCUUACCAACGUAGCUUGUUUCUGCUAAAUAGUAGCUUUGAUCUGCUUGUACAUUUUCGACAACUCCAUCAGCUUUCCAAAUGGAUAUACGUUGGUGUAAGGUCGAAGGCACUGCCCCCACGCCAUGAAUCCAUUCUCUUCCCAGCAGCAAAUUGUAAUUGGCCUUUGAAGGGACCACAAUGAACAAUGUGGAACGGGCUACUGUUCCUACGGUUAUGUUCAACAUAAUUGCCCCUAGGGAAGAACCUGUCUUUCCUUCAUAAUCAGAAAGCACCAUGUCAUGUGAGAUUAGAUCCGCUUCAGUUUUACCUAACUUCUUAAGCAUAAAUCCGGGCAUGAGGUUGAUUGCAGCUCCCCCGUCGACAAGGACUUUGUUAACACCCUUCUCCUCGACUCUGGCCCAAACAAAGAGCGGUUUCAAAUGGCUCUUCAUUUGCUCGGUUGGCCUUUGGAAGAUAGCUCUUUCAUCUUCGACAGAUCCUCUCUGCAUCACAUAAUAACACAAAGGAUUGUCAUCUGGUUCGUCGUCGACAUAGUAGUCUUCCUCGCUUUCAGUGACCUCUGAAAUUCUAUCAAAUUCUGCAGGUAGGAUAGACACGAUGCAGAUGAUGUUAAGCUCUUCUCCAUCACUGUCGUCGAAAUCUUCGAGCAUGUCUUCAUCCUCAUCCUCGACAACAUCCUUCCCUUUUUUCUUAGCUGGAUUUGGUGGUACGGUUGUUCCCUGUUUGAUGGCGUGGUCCAGCUGGUUGAUAAUCGACGCCACACUAGGUUCAUUGCGAGAGUUGUCUUCUGGCUUUAUGUCCCAUAGUGAACGGAACUUGCCACCUCUUUCCCUCUCAGCUUUCCUUUUCCUCAAAAAACGCCUGAACUGAGUCCUGGUCAUUUGUUCAGGAGCAUAGUAGUUCCCAGAGCCAUAGGAGUAGCUUCGUGACACACGGGAAUUGUUGAUGUAAGAGGAUCCCUGGCCUAAGUCGAUUUUCUGCCACUUAGGGUAUGGUUUUGGCCUUGGAGGCGUUGGCCUGAACCAUUGGUUUCUUGGCAAUCCAGCAUUGGGGAGGUAAGUUUUGUCUUUAUUGCUUGCUUUCUGGCCUUUAUGGCCAUCGAGUUCCUGGUCUCUCUCGACCCACUCCUCGUGAGGGUACUUCAAUCUCCUGGAUACAGGAGCCUUUCUCUGAUAAUGCCUUUUCAUUUCUGAAUCUUGAUAGGCCUUGGCUGCGGAUUUGUCGAAAACAGCGCUGCAUCGAGGGCACAGCAUAACUUCUUUCUCGCCAUCUUUGCUGCGGGAUAGAAACUCGACAAGGGUUUCUCCAGCCUUGGGGUAAACCUCUUCCAAGUUCACUUCCUUCACGACGUCUGGUUCUUCGACAGCCGUGUUUUCCUCCUUUGCCUCCUCGAGUGUCAGGCCCAGAUUCAGCUUCUCGGAAAUGUCGACCAUGCCAAUGUAGAAAGGUUCCACGUAGUUGGCUUCAGCUACCUGCAGUGGGUCGGAAUCAAUCUUCAUUUGACUUUUGGUUUUUUCGUCAUACUUGAGCCUUCCUGAGUCCAAUGCCCCCUGCACAAGGUCCCUGAAACGAACACAUUGUGAGGUCCAAUGACCAAAAAAGUUGUGAUAUUUGCAAUAUUUCUUCCCUUUCCUUUGUUCAGGAGAAGGAAGUUUUUGGUCUUUAGGGACCACAAGCAAACCAUCAGACACAAGUAUAUCAUAGAUUGCAUCGCAUUUGGCCACAUCAAAAGUAUAAGUUUUCACAGCAGGAAUCGUGUUCUUGGGGUUUUCCUCCCCAAGUUUGUUUUCACGUGGUUUCAAUGCUUUACAAACAUAAGGAUCCCCUGGCUGAAGUUCAGCCAGAUUGACGUCAUUCAAAUCGACGUCCGCCGGGACUUCUCGAUAGACACAUGGACUCUGACCUACUGAAUCCGCGUCUAUGUACGCUACCUUCUCCUUCUUUGGCCACUUGGUAGUCUUGGCCCUUUCCUCUGACUUUUCGGCCUUUAGCAAUUCGAUGUGCCUCACUCUAUCUGCGAGUAAAGACAUAUCUCGAAUAUACUGAGUGUCGAUUUUCUUUCUAAUGGAAUAUUCUAGACCACCAGCGGCUAAGACAACUAGCUCGUGUUCAGGGACAUGGGUGAAACAUCGGGAUUUAAGCAUCCUAAACCUGUUUAGGUAAUCAUCAAUAGACUCCGCUGGCUUUCUUUUAACACUAGCCAGGUCCUUCAAACUUACUUUGCACUCUCCCCUAAAGAACUGUUCAUGGAAAAUUCUUUCCAACUGGGCCCAUGUAUGGACUGACCUAGGAGCGAGGGUGGUGAACUAGGUAAAUGCAUUUUUGGUUAAAGAACUCGGGAAGUACUUCAUUUUUAAAUUUUCAUUGAUGGCUAAGUCUCCUGCUUCGAUUUGGUACCUGGCUAUGUGUUCUACCGUGGACUCUCCUGAAUCCCCCGAGAACUUAGUGAAUUUGGGGACCUUCCAGCCUCGAGAGAGUUCUGCUUCGAGAACCUCCUCUGUAAAGGCUGACACAAAAUGGGGUCUAUUCGCGAAACCCACGUUGAAACCAUGUUGGUUCAACAAUUGCUCCACCACAGCAGCAACAUUUUGUUGCCCCCCAGCGUUCUGGUGUCGAAUUCUUUCUAGCACACCAUCAGCGUGUUCUUCCCUGUUUACCAUAUACACAUUUUGCAAUGGCGGCUGCACUGCCUCGUACAAAGGGUUUGCCCUCAUCUCUUGGUGUUGCGGCGCCUGAUAGCGCACCGGGGCAGGGAUAUGGUUAGGCAACGGGAUUUGGUUAAUCCCUGGUGCCGGUUGGAUUUCGACUGGUGCCCCCAGGGCUGUCGCCAAACGAUCCAUCUGUCGUUCCAAAUGCUGAUUAUUGGCAUUAUUAUUUUGGAGCACAGGGUUGAUUAGCUCACCUAUCUGUCGAGAUAGCAUAUUAACCAUUUCAUGGUUACUAUCAUCUACUUGCUGCCUAAUGGCUUGAAGUGAACCAUUAUUCAUACCUGUAGAUAAAUAAAUUUGUGAACUAGAUCCAGGAAUAGAAGGGCUAACUCGACUCCCCAAAUUUAGCAUUGUUCCAUUUGCCCCAAAAGGGGGUAUGCCGAAUGGAGGAACAUUUUCAGGGAACGUCGAAUACGUGCCUUGUAUGCCUUGCAUUAUAGACGUAGGCAUACUAUAAGGCAUGUUUUCCCUCGUAACUGUUGGAACAAUUUGUGCCUGUACUGAUGUAGAUACAGGCAUUUCUGCAACUGCAGAAAUUGCUACAUUCUGGGUUGGCAUAGUGGUGCCAUGCCCCAUUCCAGUAGACACUUCUUCAUUAUUGUUACCGCUACUUCCCCCAGGGCUACUCUGAUUACCCACGUUAGAUCCUUGGGGGGAGGUUCUUCCUCGAUUACUUGCCAUACUCAAAGUCUUACCACUUCUCAGGUGCAUAUAAAUCACAAUCAAGGCAAGUAGCAAAUACCAAAUAGCAUGCAGCAAACAAAACACACAAAACGCUUCUGUAAAACUUAGUUUUCACAAAAACGGUCCCACUGGGCGUGCCAAUUUGUUUACACGGAUUUUUGGUAAACAAAUAUCCUCUUAGUUCGACUAAAGGAAGUUUAGAUUCGGGGUCCUUUUGAGAAAACGCUUUGCCAAAGUGUAGUGUGUGAACGAGUGUAUUCUCGACAAUAAUAAACAACUCAAACGAAACUGGACUUUAUUGAGUAUGAGUCGAUUACAAAACAGUCAAGCAAACUUAAAAUAGCAUGAAAGCAAAUUUCGACAAAACAAGUUACACAUAAGAACUGGGAAUUAACAAACUGAAAUACAAGGAAAUUAAAGCGUUGGUUCUGCAACAUACUCCUCCAUCAUCACGUUCUGCUCUCGAAGUCUCAUUGAUGCGGACGUUUGGAGCUUUUGGUGAAUUUUCAGAGUUUUUAGUUGGGAACCCUUUCUUCUGCUGCUGCUUCCUCUAUUUAUACUGUUCUUUCUGCCCAUGUUCUUGGCGGUUUUACUUGGAUGCACGAUGGCUUCGUGGGUUUUGAAUUUUGGCGCCAUACCCCACGUUUAGCCGAUGGUCUUCGCGCACGUGACUCUAUUGCCACGUGGAUGGUUCUGAGUCGCGGGCAACCGUUGCUAUUCGUGGCAUCGUGGGUGUACGCACGUGCUUGUAAUCGCUUGUUAUUCGGUAACUGCCCCUUCCAUUAAGAUGAUCGAGAUUUCUUCAUCUUCUGAGUGUGUCGAGUUAUGGCUUUUACUAACUUGUCUUUGAGGGACAUCGUGUGCUGAGUUGCCGGCUUCGCCCAACCCCUUCUGUCGAGAAACCACUUUUUGCACCAUGGUGUCGAUAAUUGUAAUGCUUGUAAUUUUGGCUUAACACAGCUGCACACAAGAUACUGUGUACUCAAAACCUAAACGUGCUAAAACCUCUACAAUAAUGUUUAGAAUUUCGGAAAAGAUCAAGAAGACUAAUUUUCCUUCAUAUAUAUCAUGUUCUACGAGUUCACCUUCUUAAAAAGUUCACCAAUCCUUUUUACCUUCUACUAACUCUUUUCUUUUCCAUGAAAACCAUAAUAAUACUAAUAUUAAAUGUCAAUUAAAACCGUAACAGAUUUAAUUGCUAUUGGAUUGUACAACCGUGGAAAAAGAUUUAAUGUGAACUGAAGAAUUUAAAACCAAUAUAUGUUUUAAUUGGGUAGGUGGAAAAACCUGUCGAAAAAAAACUGGCAUGCCAUUAAUUCUUACAGUAUGCUCAAAUUACUUGUUUCAAUUUUGUCAUGUUUGUUAUGGAGUGUGAUAGACCGCUUAAAUUGCCGCGAGAGCGGGGAAUGUCCAAACGUAAACAGAGAGAGGUUUUUUUUCAAGGUUUUGUUUGCCACCUGUUGAAAUGACAAAGAGAGCUAAUGAAAAGUUCCAAACAAUAGAAAGUCAAAAAACAAUGAGUGGUGGAGCUAGACGCAAGGUGCACCAAAGAGAAAACCUCGGCAGGACGAAGCUCACAUGACUGAAAAUAGGUGAGACAAUGGGAUAUAAAAAGGGAGAAAUCAUGUAAGUGCAAGAGGCAGAAGAAGAGAAACAAUCUAUCUUCUUCCAAAUAAAAAAUAAAGGAAGGAGAUAGGAAAGGGUUGAAAAGGAUAAAAAAAAAAUUACAUUAGAUACAUUGUUGGCUGAAGGAAAAAAAUUCAAAAAAAUGGCUCGUGGAGCGAUUAUUGCAUCCAUGCUCUGCCUUCUGGCUGUAGCAGUGGUGGCUGAAGACCCUUAUAUCUAUUACACAUGGAAUGUGACCUACGGUACCAUUUCACCUCUUGGAAUCCCCCAACAGGGUAUCCUCAUCAAUGGUUUGUUCCCAGGACCUGAAAUCAACUCCACCAGCAACAACAACAUUGUCAUCAACGUGUUCAACAACCUUGACGAGCCAUUGUUGUUCACAUGGAGCGGUAUCCAGCAGAGGAAAAACUCAUGGCAAGAUGGUACAUUGGGAACUCAGUGCCCCAUCCAGCCAGGAACCAACUACACAUACAAGUUCCAGGUCAAGGACCAGAUCGGUAGCUACUUCUACUACCCCUACACCGGCCUCCAGAGAGCCGCCGGUGGAAUCGGUGGUUUGAGAAUCUACUCCAGGUUGUUGAUCCCUGUCCCAUAUGCUGACCCUGCUGAUGAAUACUGGGUCCUCAUGGGUGACUGGUACGCCAAGCCCCACACCACCCUCCAGAAGUUUUUGGACAGUGGUCGUAGCCUUGGAAGGCCAGAUGGCGUCCACAUCAUGGGUAAAAAUGGUAGCCCAGUCCCACUCUACACCAUGGAGCCUGGAAAGACCUACAAGUACAGGCUCUGCAAUGUGGGUAUGAAGGACUCCCUUAACUUCAGAAUCCAAGGCCACCCAUUGAAGCUUGUUGAGAUGGAAGGCUCCCAUGUGGUGCAAAACGUCUACGACUCCCUCGACAUCCAUGUUGGUCAGUGCUACUCUGUCCUCGUGACUGCCGACCAGGAACCAAAACAAUACAAGAUGGUCGCCUCCACACGCUUCACCAAGAAGGUGUUGUCCGCCACCGCUCUCAUCACCUACUCUAACGGUAACGGUCCCGCCUCCCCUGAGCUCCCACCUGCACCUGAAGGCUGGGCCUGGUCCCUCAACCAGUUCCGUUCCUUCCGUUGGAACUUAACCGCUAGUGCUGCCAGGCCUAACCCUCAAGGCUCUUACCACUACGGCCAGAUCAACAUCACCCGAACCAUCAAGCUCGUGAACACCGUCUCUAGGGCUAACGGAAAACUCCGAUACGGAAUCAACGGUGUGUCCCACGUUGACAACGAAACCCCACUCAAGCUCGCCGAGUACUUCGGUGUUGCUGACAAGGUUUUCAAGUACAACAUCAUCUCCGAUGAGCCCCCGGCAACCAUCGGUGACCUCACCUUGGCUCCCAAUGUCAUUAACGCCACUUUCCGUACCUUCAUCGAGAUCAUCUUCGAGAACCCCACAAAGGUUGUUCAGUCAUACAACUUGGAUGGUUACUCCUUCUUCCUUGCCGCAGUUGAGCCAGGGAAAUGGACACCCGAGAAGAGGAAGAACUACAACCUUUUAGAUACAGUGAGCAGGCACACCGUUCAGAUAUACCCCAAGUCAUGGGCAGCAAUCAUGCUUACAUUCGACAACGCUGGCAUGUGGAACUUGAGGUCAGAGCACACCGAGAACCGCUACCUUGGUCAACAAUUGUACAUCAGUGUCUUGUCUCCUGAACGCUCUCUCAGGGAUGAGUACAACAUUCCAGAAACCCAGCUCCUUUGCGGCAUCGUCAAGGAUAUGCCCAAGCCCGCACCCUACUCUUAAGCAUUUAUCAACCUGCAUUAAGACGAUGUAUUAGCUUUAUUUUGUAGCUGAUGUAUCCACCGACCCUUUCCUGAAUGCCACAAAUUUUCAGCUCCAUAUGUAUACACAUAUAUAAUAUGAAUGUCAAAUUCUCCUUCCAAUCCACUUCUAUGUGGGUUUUGUCAUGGAAUAUGUACACACAUCAGUUCUUUCAUUAAUUUCAAGUGACGGAAAUUAAACUUUACUCAAGCUAGAGCUACUACGACCUGAGCUCACACCAUAAGCAGAAGGAUAUAUAAUUGAACUAACCAAAAGAACUAAAUAUUAAGAAGAAAUUAUUAGUCUGUUUGUGCUGGUUUGGGUGGGUUGUGCCCAGAGGCGGACCCAGAAAUUUUGUGACACCUGGGCAAAAUUUUCACAUCGUCUUGAAUAUUUGGAGGAUACUCAUUAAUUUGUUUCCUACGCCCUGGAUCACGCACAAUCUCAUUCGGAUGAAACUCAUUGACCACAUUAGGCGAUGGUUCUACUUCGGCUUCCGGUUGUACAACAUUCACAUUCUCAAUACUUGCUCUAGGAACCAAGAACUUCCUCAUCUCUAAAAUUUAAUGAUCUAAAGAAACAACAAAGAAAAGCACAAUUAGAAAUUAUGAUCAAAUUAAAAAAGCACUAAAAACAACACUAAUAAAUAAAAAUGAAAAGGAGACAAUCUAUAUUCACAUGAUUAGUAUAUUGGAUGUACAAAAAAUGGAAGAGAAGAGAUCAUGGACCACAAGCAAUUACCAAAUUUUGGACCACAAGCAAUUACUAAAUUGAAUUGAAUACAUUACACAUUAUACAAUAUACAUGGCAAAUGGCAAUUGUUGGCAAGUGGCAAACCGCAUCUCAUGACUCAUGUAAUCUGUCUCUCACACUUUUCUAACUUAUCCUUCACACACUCACAUAGUCACACAUGACACAUACAAUUAAUAUUUGAUUCAAGAAUACCAAACCCAACUCACUCACGCAUCUCUCACUCUCUGUCUCACUUUUCCCUUUUUUUUUUACCUUUUCUGCCUUAACCUUUCUCUCAGUCUCUCACUCAGUCUCUCUCACCGCUCACCUCCUCUCCUCUGUUCCUCUCGACAACGCCCACGCCACGCCUCACCCACACGACACGCAGGCCGCAACCGCGCCCUCACCCACACCGGCACACGCAGGCCGCAGCCACGCCCACGCCCUCACCACCCACCGCCUCAGGCGGCCCUCACCCACGCCCUCACACCACAGCCCACAGGUCUCACUCACGGCACACCCCCUCACAGAGUCACAAUAGGAUAUUGAGAUUUACAGAGCAAAUAAGUUUGAAGCUAGGAUGGAGAAAUCAGAGAGAAAGAGACCUGAUUCCUGAAGAUUGAAGCUUGAAGAGUAAGAGUACUCAGAGAGAAAUGAAGAUUGCUGAAGAUUGAAGGGAAGCCUGAAGAUUGAAGCCUGAAGAUUGAAGUCAAUUGAAGUCUGAGAAGGAAAUUGAAGCGUGAUUUGAAGCCUGAAGGGAGAAAGUGAGUAGGAAAUUGAGAAUAGGGUUUCUAUUUUAUUAUUUUCCCCUUUCUUUUCCCCUUUAUAAAAUAGUCCUCAAUUUUACCCCAACCUUUAAAUUUUGCCCUUUUUUAUUUUUUUUUUGAGGCCCAAAAGAUGAUGUGGUCCAAAGAAAAAAAUUUUUUUUUGGUCAGAGCUUGGGCAUUUGCCCUAGGUAGCCAGGCGCUCAAUCCGCCUCUGGUUGUGCCUAUAUACUAGCUAAUAUCGGCAUUUGUUUCGUUUUUUAUUUGUAUUUUCCCUUUGCUAAAUUUUGUACUUUGUUCGUGGGUUUGAAGUACCCUUUUACUUCCUUUAAUAAAAUGUUUCUAUAAAAAAAAAAAAGAAUAAUAGAGCGAUCAAAUGGAAAUGUAUAUGCUUAAUACGGAUUCAAAAUUCUAAACAUUCGUUCGUGGUGUAUAAAAUGCACUGUUUAUAAGUUAUUUUACAAUGAUGAGCCAUUAAAUUGUUUUCUAAUUUUUUCCCGAGUAAUGAUAUAUACACACCUCCUUAUUUAUACACUUCAUUUCCACCUAUUUUUAUUUCUAUCUCUCUCCUCUUAUCAUCUAUCAUAUCUUAUACUUUCUCUUUCUUACUUUUUAUUUUCUUCCUAUCUCUCUCCUCCUCCACCUCUUUCCACCUCAAUUUAGAGGUGUGGACAAAUAAUUAUUGAUUUUUUCCCUAUUGUGUUGUUUGGAUAUAUACAAUUGCAUACGUGUCAUGUGUACUUGUCAUUUUAUAGAUUUAAAUAUGUUUUUAUCAUGACUUAUAUACACUUAUAAUAUAAUACUAGUGUUUUUUUCCCGUGCGUUGCACGGAAAAUAUAUCUAUUGUUUUUUAUACAUCAAUUAAUCAUGAAUGUGAUUAUGCGAGUUCAUUUUCAGUUUUUUUUAAUUCUAAGUUAUUUAUGUUUUAAUUUUUUUAAAGUUGUUCUCAAUAUGUGUUCAGGGAACACGUGUCUACAAUAUCUUAGAUAAUUAGGGACAACCCUUUAAAAUUUAAUGGAUUAUAAUCUCAGCACUACAUAUUUUAUUUUCAAUCAUAUUGUAGAUCAUGAGAAAGAAUAAAAGGAGAAAUCAAAGGAUUCCUGUAAAUAUGCAGUAAAUUAGACUUGAGACUUUUCCAAAUUUAAAGAGAUAAUGAAAAUGGUUUCAAGAUUUGUUUUGGAAAUAAAUUUAGUAAGGAGUAAUCUAGGUUAUUCUUAGAUAAUUAGGGCAAAUCUUUAAAAAUUCGGUUUUAAGAUAAAAUAACACAACAGAAGAGAAACUAUCUAAUGGAAUGACACGUGAAUAUUUUUUUUAUGGGAAUUAACCUGAGAAUGACAAGUGAAUUUUUUUUUAUGAGAAUUAACAUGAGAAUGACAUGUCACUAAAUCAGCCUGAUAUAAGUUAUUCUUUUCUAUUGUAUAUAUAUUGGUUGAUGGUAUUCGAAAGAAAAAUCCUCUUUUUUCCCCUAAAUAAUUUUGUUUUAUUUAAAAUGGUUCCUCUAAUGUCAUAAUGCGAACAAAGGUUAUAGGAAAUUAAAGUUUGUGUGGGGAUAGACUGUAAGGAGCUUGUUUCUCUUGCGAUUGAUACUAACAGAGACAGAAUCCGAGUCCAUCCUCAAGCCUCCAUUAUCCGUGAUAUUAAGAUUCUCCUGGAUUUGGAUUGGCGGGUUGAGCUUUCCUGGAUUCCCAAUGAAGCCAAUGUUGCGGCUGAUUGCUUGACCUAACAGGGCGCUCAUUCAUCCCUUCCUGGGUUGCAUAUGGUGACUAAUGUUGCUCCUGAGUUAGACUGGUUGAUCCUUAAGGAUGCCUUAGUUGUUCCUUAGUUUGUUGUUGCUCUGUUGUCAUUUUUCCGAAGCACCAAAAAAAUAAUAAUGCUUAUUUGUCAUUUUUUAGUUGGGAUAAAUAUGUAUUUGGUUCUUAAACUAUAGCGAAUUAUUAUUAUUAGUCCCUGAAUUAAUUUUUCAUUGAAAUCCAUCCCUUAACUUGUUGGCGUGUGAGGUUUUGGUCCCUCGAGUCAUUUGAAUGAUUACGUAGCAUAGUGACGUGUAUGUAUUUUAUGAUGUGUUAUUUUUAGUCUAAAAUUUCAGUUCAAAUAUUUUGUGUGCUUUCUCCUUUGUGACAAUUUUAAGCACUUAAAAAUCAAGUCUUUAACCAUAAAAUUUUCCAUCUAUUUUCUCAACUUCUCUCCAAAUUUUCUUUUUAAGACUUUAUCACUAAUUGCAUAUUCAAUUAAACAUCAUUUUUAAGACAAGUUUUAGAAUAAAAAUAUUCUCCUUUUCCAUGCAUAGUCUCGCUCAUACAUUCCUAACUAUCAUGAUUGAUUAUCUUUAAAAUCAACUAACAGAAGGUAAAUCUAUGAUGAAAAAUAAUUCAAAGUUUAAAAACAAGACUUUAAUCAUUAAGAAAUUUCACAAGACUUAAACUUUAAGGAAUCAAAUUAGAGGUCUAGUAUGCUUUUGCAAAAUCGAAUAAGAAACCUCACUCUAUAUUGGAAUAGGCUUUUGCAAAAUCCAGUUUAACAAAAUGCCACCUUCAUCCAUUUUCUUCAACAAAUCAACUAUUUCAUUUGCUUUAUACAAUGCAAUUAGCUAUUUGCCUCUUUCUUUUUAUCUUGUUAUUGCUUCUUUUUGUUUCUUUAUGCUUUUGUGAGAUACUAUAUUCUUGACUCAUAGUUUUUUUUUUUUUUUUUGAAAUAAGAAUGAACUUUCAAUAAUACGGGAAAUCAGAACAAGCUACAUCCAUGAUGUUUGGAGGGACAUACCCCAUCGAAAUUGAAUCAGAAGAAGAACAAGCUAUAUUAGCAAGAAAAUGAGCAAGGUUAUUCUGUGUUCUAAAAACAUGAGAAACAGAAAAAAAACUCAAAACCAGAAACUAAGCUACAGCAAUCAUCAAUGAUAAGUUGGAGAUCUGGGGAAAGCUGUCCAGCCCGAAAACCACGCGCAACAACAAGGGAAUCUGUCUCAGCCAGAACUCUGGUAAAACCAUGAUGCACCAUGAGUGUGAAUGCCCACCUCAAAGCCAAGGCUUCAGCCAUAGAAAUACUUACCUCAACCUUACAUCUACUGCAAGCAGCCAUAACCACCAAACCAGUAUGAUCCCUAAGGACACACCCCAUACCGAGCCACCCUUCCUUGAUGCUGGCAUCAACAUUUAAUUUGAGUUUCCCUACAUCUGGAGGCUGCCAUCUUCUCAACUCUUUGGGUUUCUUCUGCCUUAUGUGCCCCUCAUUCCUUGAAAUGAACUCUCUAUCAAAAAGAGAAGCAACCUGAAAAGCUCUUACAGGAUCAGCAACCUUUCCUGAAAAACAUAAGUCAUUCCGAGCCUUCCAAAUGGACCAUAACACAUGACAAAUCAAGGACAAGUGGUCACAAUCAUUCAACCCCAACAGAUUUUGAAACCAAGAAACCACCUCAGCCGAAUUGAGAACACAGUGGGAUAAACCCGACCCAAACCAUACAGCCCUGGAAAAUUCACACUCAAGAAACAAAUGAUGCAAUGACUCAGAAGCACCACAACAAAGGGGACAAACAAUAUCCAGAGCAAUACCUUUUUUCACAAGAUUUUCCCUAGUAGGCAAAAUCCUAUUCAUCAAUUUCCAGAGAAAAAUUCUGAUUUUAUGAGGAACAUCAACCUUCCACAAAUCAUUCCAAGUUGAACAAGGAAGAAAAGAACUAGAAGCACCAGGGCCAGAACUUGAACAUGAACUGAGCAUUUGAUAGGCAGAUUUAACAGUGUAAUUCCCAUCAUUGGACCAAUGCCAAGCAAACUUGUCUUCAGGGAGCCUAAUCGAAAGAGGAAUUGAUAGAAUCUUAUCAGCCUCAAAACCCAUAAAGGAGGACUUAAUUAAGUCCUCAUUCCACCUUUUCUGCUCAAAAUCGAUAAGCAUACUGACCUUAGCAUCCUUAGGCAGAUCAAUUGCAGGACUCCAGACCUUAAACCCUGACUGAUUAGGCAACCAACCAUCCUGGAAAACUCUGACAGAUUUACCAUUCCCAAUAGUCCACCUAGAGCCUUUAGAAAUCACAUGCCUCGCAGCUAGAAUACUCCUCCAAGAAAAACUAGGAAGAUACCCCAACUUAGCAUCCAUAAAAGAAGUCCUUGGGUGGUAUCUACUCUUAAAAAUCUGAGCAACCAAAGAAUCAGCCCUGUUAAUCAGCCUCCAACAUUGCUUACCGAGUAUUGCAUCAUUAAAUUUUCUAAGGCACCUAAACCCCAAACCUCCAACAGCCUUUGAUCUCUUAAGCCUUUCCCAACUCAUCCAAUGAAUUCCUUUAUCCUUAGAAUUAUUUCCCCACCAAAACCUAGCCAUCAUACUCUCCAUAGCUGAAACACACCCUUCAGGAAGCUUAAAACAGCUCAUCACAUAGGUGGGAAUCGCUUGCGCAACAGACUUCAAUAAAACCUCCUUGCCCGCACUUGAUAAAUGCCUCUCCUUCCACCCCUUUAACCUCUUCCAUAUCCUAUCCUAGACUAGAGAGAACACCACUUUCUUUGAUCUCCCAAAAACAGUGGGAAGACCAAGAUAUCUAGAAUGAGAUUGAACAGUCUUGACACCCAUCCUUUGCUGGAUUGCAUUUCUAACAUCUACCGGCACAUUAUGACUGAAAGAAAUCUCAGAUUUAUCUAGAUUCACCAACUGUCCCGAUGCUCUCUGAUAAUCAUCAAGGAUGCUCAAAACAGAAUCAGCCUCUUUGAGAGAAGCACGAGCAAAAAGCAGACUGUCAUCAGCAAAUAGGAGGUGUGAAAUCACCGGGGCACCUCUUGCAAUCCUCAAUCCAUGAAUCUGCUGGUCUCUCAUCCUGGAAUUGAUUAAACAAGACAAGGCAUUAUCACAUUGGAUAAAGAGAUAGGGGAAAUCGGAUCCCCUUGUCUCAACCCUCUAGAGGGAACAAUUUUGCUGCUUGGAAAACCAUUGAACAGAAUUUGAUAAGACACCGAGGAUACACAAUCUAUGACCAGCUUAGUAAACCUGCUAGGGAACCCCAUAUGGACCAAAACACCCUUGAGAAAGCUCCACUCCAUCCUAUCAUAUGCCUUUGCCAUGUCGAGCUUCAAAGCCAUCAUUCCUUUUUUCCCUUUUUUCUUCUUCUUCUGUAAGAUCAAGUUUUGAUCUAGUAGUACAACUCUAUGUUUUGAUGAUUACAAGUUAACCUUUUGAUAUGAAUAAUUAUGGUACUCUAACGUGUUUUUCUGAGUGUGCUAUUUACAGGCUCUGACCUUGAUUCAGUCUCACAUAAAUCAGAAGCACUGUGCAUAAAGAGUGACCCAAGCAACGCUUUCGCAACAUCUAUGUUCACUCUGAACAGUAGAAAUGCUUCAGAAGAUCUGAAGUUAUACAAACUCUGAUAUGGACUCAGCCACCAGAAGUUCUGAAGAUCCAGAAGUUCUGACAACCAAGAAACUCUGAAGGUUCAGAUGUUCUGAUGGUGUAGAAGACUCUGAAGAUUCAGAAGCUGAACAGUGGAAACUCUGAUGUCCAGAAGCAAGAAACUCUAAAGACCAUGUACUUCCCUCUGAGUCCAGAAUCAGAAGAUACAACGGUCAGAGGAUCUGUGCUUUCCCUCUGACUCUGAUCAACCGGCUUCACAAGUUCCAACAUGAAGCAUUCCCCUGAUCAGAAGUCUCCUAGGUUUAAAGGUCAAGUCGCUAUCCAAGUACAAAAGCAAAUUGUACUAUCCUGACGACCUACCUAACAUCCUCAGCCACAGCAGAAGCUGGAAUUUCCAGAACUUCCCUCCAACGGUAGCAUUUCCAUGCAACGUUCAACCCUAAUCCUUGGAGUAUAAAUAGAGGCUGAAGAUUGAAAGAAGCGGCUAGAAGCAUUCAUACACGCGCAAGAAAUAUUCAAAUCCUUCUAAGCUUUCUUUCAUCUUGAAUUUCAUUGUGUUUACUAUAAGCUUUUUAGAAGCACCUUCUUUGUAGACAAGAACUUCAUAUACAGUUGUAUAGUUUGCCUUUAGGAGAUCAAGGUUGAUCGGAUCCUUGAGAAGACUAAGAGAGUGAAUCUUAGUGUGAGCUAAGUCAGUGUAUUGUUAGUCACUUGUAGGUUUCAAGUGCAGUUGUAACACAUACCUGAUUAGUGGAUUGCCUUCAUUCUAAGAAGGAAGAAAUCACCUUAACGGGUGGACUGGAUUAGCUUGAGUGAUUUAUCAAGUGAACCAGGAUAAAAUCCUUGUGUGCUUUUCUAUCUCUUAUCUUUAGCACAUAGUUUGUUUCGAAAGAUUUGCCAAAAUCUUUAAGGUGGAAGUUUUAUCUUGAAAACGUUAUUCAAACCCCCCCCCCCUUCUACCGUUUUUCAUACCUUCAUCUUCAACCAAUGGAAACACUCAAGGGUAAUCAAAGCAUUAUCGGUAAUGAGCCUACCCGGAAUAAAUGCACUUUGAGCUGGAUCAAUAAUCUUCGGCAACACCCCUUUGAUCCUAUUAGCCAUUGCUUUAGUGACUAUCUUCAUAACAACGUUGCACAAACUAAUGGGCCUAAACUCCUUCGGGAUGGAUGGCUUCUUACACUUAGGAAUAAGGGUAAUGAAAGUGGAAUUAAUACUUUCCGGACUCAAACCCUCAUUCAGAACAGCCAACACAUGCUUAACAACCGACGCACCAACAAUGUGCCAAUACUCUUGGAAGAACUUUGCUGGGAGACCAUCAGGCCCAGGGGCCUUGAGAGGAUGCAUUUGGAAUAUGGCCUUAACAACUUCAUCCUCCUGAAAAUCACUAUCAAUCAAAUCCACAUCCUGCUGCUCCAACUUGGUGUCAAUGGCCCUGCAAAUGUCAGGGGGUUCCUCCACCAUUUGGGAAGUGAAAAUAGAUGAGAAAUAACUGUUCAGAAUAGCAGAAACGUUCUCAGGCUUGUUGUACCACACACCAUCCUCUCCUUUCAGCUUUUUAAUGCUAUUCACCGCCUGCCUUUGAUUUGCUUUAGCAUGAAAAAACCCAGUAUUCCUGUCCCCAUCUUUUAACCACAUAGCUCUGCUCCGUUGCCUCCACAUAGUCUCUUCAAGCUGCAAAAGCAGCGAGUGUUCUUCUACCAUCUCCUUAAAUUUCGCCAGAUUUUCAGGUUUAUCAUCCCAAGAAGCAUCCUUCUGCAACUCACCCUCUAGAAAAAUGAUUCUCUUUCUGAAAUUUCCCACAGUGUAACCUCGAAAGGUAUUCUUAAGACCUUGAAUACUACCAAGCUUCUUAACAAAAUCAUCUCUUUGCCCAAUCCAAGCAUGGAAGAUCUCCUCCUCGCACCUUGGAUCCAAACACCACACCUCUUCAAACCUAAAAGGACGUUGUUGUCUUCUCAUAGGGACAUCCAUAAACUUCUCAAUGGAGACAGAAAUAACUGCAUGAUCUGAACCAUAUCUUCCCAAGUGCUGCACAGAACUAGCAGGAAAAAUCUGAGAAAAUACCUCAGUACAUAAAGCUCUGUCCAGCCUAGCCUGAAUAUUUGCAUCACCUGAUAUGCCAUUAGUCCACGUGAGAGGAUAGCCACUAAAGCCCAAAUCAACUAGCCCAAGAUCAUCCAUAACAUCCCUUCCCCUCUGCAACUGAGAAUCAGACCGCGAAAUACCACCUUUCUUCUCAUUGUUCGAGAUAACAUCAUUCAAGUCCCCAACCCCAAGCCACCUCAACCCCCCCCCCUCCUGAACUAGAGACCUGAUUAGAGACCAAGUCCUCUCCCUCAGCCUCGUACACGGGUAGCCAUAAAUCCCAGAAAAACACCAAGGGUCUUCAUCCUCAACUACAGAAACAGAGAUAUGAUUGUUUGAAAAAGAAAUGAGAGAAACAUUCAAAGAUUCAGACCACCACAAAGCUAGCCCCCAUUUUCUCCCCUUGCCAUUAUCAACACAAUCCACAACCAAAAAAUUCUUAAGACCAAAGUCCAACCUUAUUUUUUCAAUUUCAAACUUUUUCAACCUGGUUUCCAUCAAGAAAACCAAUUGAGGAAUCUCUUUUCUUACGAGCCUUUGCAAGGCCCUAACUUCCUGGGGACUCCCCAAACCCCGGCGGUUCCAGCUAAGGAGUUUCAUGGCUGUAGGCAAUGUUGGUCUCCCAACAUCGCCUCUAAAUGAGCAUCAGCCAUAUCCACAUCCAUCAUCAAUUUCUUGCUUAAGUGACCCCGAAAAGUCUCAUCAUCCACUUCCACAAUAUCCACAUCAAUCAGGCUUCUCUUCUUAUCUAAACAAGAGAGGACUUUGCAAUUGUCACAGCAGCCCUACUAGCAUCAAGUCUCUUCCAACCUCUCUCGGUAGUCACCUUCUUUUCACUAGAGCUCCCAACACAAAAAGAUAGCUCAGCCACAGGAGCACAAUUUUCCUUAACCUCAGAAUCUGAGCCCUGCUUUAGAACAACAUUACCAAGUGCCUCAAGCACAUCAUCCACUUGUUGGACCACCAUACCACACUCAACAGCAGAAUUUUCAGGGGAAACAUUUGUGAUAUCAGAUAGAACAUGACUAGACAUCCCACCCACAAGAAACUCCUUAGCAGGCCCAACAGAAACAACACUUGGGGCCUUAGCAUCAGCAGCAAGUUCACCUAUACUUCUUUCAGAAACAGGAACCACAGUAGAGUUCUCAAGAUCAGCAAAAGGAACUCUAUCAGCAGACACACCAGAAUUCUUAGUAUCUGAAGACACCUUAUCAACCAACAAGCACAAAUCAUUUUUCCUUUGAACAUCCUUAUGCCUGGUUACCACCUUGGAACCACCACAGCCAAACCUAACCACACCAACAUCAUCAGAACGACCCACGGAUCCCUCACCAGCCCUCCCCACACCAUCAAUAGCAGAACGAAAUAGGGACUCACAACCUUUAGACUUCAUAGGAUGAGCAACAUCCUCACCAAAAGGGGAAGCCCUCAACCAUGGCCCAAAAGGAAAGUCCACAGCAUCAUGAUCCUCCUCAACAUCCUCAAAUUCAUUACAAUCCUUGAUCUGAUGGCCUAUUCUUCCGCAAGCAAAGCAAAAAUUAGGAAGCCUCUCAUAUCUGAAAUAAACCUUAAGCUCCUUCCCUUGCCAAAACAACAUCGUACCCCUGAGAAGAGGCUUGGUAAGAUCAAUGGUAACCUUAAUCCUGAAGAAGAGGCCCAAACGGUUCUCAAGCUUACAAUCAACCUCCACAAAGCUACCAAUUGAAUCCCCCAACCUCCUGGCAACUGCUUCAGACUUCAAUUUCAGAGGGAGAUCAUAAACCCUCACCCACAUAUCCACAGAGGAGAGCUCAAUUUUAGAUGGCUGAUCUUCAUCACUGAAUUUCUUAAGCACCAAUAUACUACGAUCGAAACUCCAUGGACCCCCUUGGAUCACAGAUAUGAGAUCCUUUGAUGUAGCAAAUUGAAACAAGUACCGAUUCUUGGAGAUCUCAUUGAUUUCGACUGGAUGUCGCCACGCCGCCUUCAUAGUGUUCAUGAACGCCCUAACAUUGUGCGAACCUUCAGACCACAACUUCCCAGCCAGCAACCGAGAGGUAAGAUCAUCAUCUCUACACUCAUCCUCAUCGAUUGUAACACUGCUCUGGAUCUCAGAAGCAUUGAGAUCGAAAUUCCGAUGCAUCGUAGAACACAGGGAAACAAGGAGAAAACUACGAAGAGAGAAAAAACAGGAAAGAGACAGAGAAUCAAGGAGCGAACCAGAGAAUCAGAGAGCAAGAUGAAGAAGAAGAGCCUAGGGAGACCUAGGAGAAGACCACCAAGUCGGUGGAGAUCUUGACUCAUAGUUUGGUCUAGCCCUUACUGUAAUAUAAUUCUCUUUUAAUAUAGAGUUUGGGCUAGCUCUUUUAAUAUAAUUCUCUUUUUGGUUUUCCGAAAAAAAAAAGUGAAGGUAAAUUGGCCUCCAGAACCUUUAAGAUAAGCUUCUAUUCACUCCCAAUCAAACUGAUGGGCCUGAAGUCAAGCAUAGAUUGUGGAUAUUACGUUUCAGGAUUGCAGAGAUGAAAGGAGCAUUUAAAACCCUUACAAUUUUCCAAGACUCAUGGAAUUCAUGGAAGAAUUUGACCUCAUUAUUGAGAUUGAGAUUGAAUUUGUCCGGGCCGAAGCUUGAUUUCCAUCACGAUUUUUAUCACUCCCCAAAGUUUCAAAUUCUGAAAAGUUUGCUUCUAAACGAGCCUUAUCCCUGUGACUUAUCUUUGAAAGUUUGAGCAUCUGAGCUUGCAAUUGGGUCGCACCUUAUUUUCCCUUGAAAAAAAGGUUCUAAAUGAUUGAAAAUGGCCACCUCUGUUCAAAAAAAAGAAAAUGGCCACCUUAAUCGAUGUUGGAUCCUCAAUGUAUACCUCACCUACGUUCAAUUUCACUAUUCUUUUCUUUGCUUUCCUUCCUUCAACUAGCGUAUCCUAGCUUUUUGCCUCCACUUUUCAAAUCGUCACAACUCAACGACAUAAUUUAUCUGUCGCAACAUUCGGAACAGACUAUUACAUUUUUAUUUACGUCGUAUCAAAUAUUAUUAUUUCUGUAACCAACGGCGUCGCAAAAUUCAGGACGAAGCAUGAUAGUUUUAAUUCCGUCAUAACAAAAAAACAUUAUUUCUGUCAUCCAAUCGGUCGUAAAAAAAAUUUCUUCAAAAAUAUAAGUAUAUUCCGUCCCAAAAAAUUGAUUUCUUCCAUCGCACAUUAAUUAUUAAUUAAAUGAAUACUAUAAUUCAAUAUAUUAUGUCCUUAUUUCUGUCCCAAAAGCGCGACGAAGAAACAUUCUGUUCUAAAAACUUUGCGACGCACAAAAUCGCGAUGAAAUGUUUCAGUCGCACAUCCGUCCCAAAAUCAUUUAAGAAUAGAAAUUUUAACAAUCGUGUGACGAGGGCGGCGAUGUUCAACUUGAUUCCAGAGGAUUGGGGUGGUCACGUCACGCCUUGGGUCUCAGAGAUCAAACAGUACUUCAAUCGCCUCAAGAGUCUCCACUUUCGCCGAAUGAUUGUCACCAACUCCAGCAAGGAAACUCAUCCUUUUGGUACGAGAACUGGUUGGAAACUGGGGUCCUUUGUUCAUAAGUGCCUUUUGUGCACAUAAGUGACACAGCGUUGGCAGUUCGCGAUGUGUGAAAGACAAUGGCUGGAAGUUUGACUGUUUGUACACGGUGCUUCCAUCAGAGCUGAAGAAUAGGGUUCAAUCAACUGUAGGGCCAACGGGCGUGGAGCAUGUAGAUGCUUGGCGUUGGAAUGAGGAGCCUGAUGGUCAUUACACGUCCAGAUCCGCCUAUGCUUGGCUCAACCAUCGGGACAAUGAGGAGGGUGAACACCAGGUUUGGAUGCAACUGUUGAAAUUGAGGAUUCCGGGAAAAUGCAAAUUUAUGAUUUGGCUUGCGCUGCACCAAUCUUUGCCUGUGAAUGUGCACUGGCAUGCUUGCUCUCUUGCCACCAGCGCUGCGUGUGGUAGAUGCUCUACCCCAACGGAGGACAUUCUUCACUGUCUUCGUGAUUGUCCACACUCGAUGGAAGUUUGGACCAGGUUAGGCUAUGGAACCUUUGUGGGCUUCUUCUCACAAGACUCUUGGUCAUGGAUCCUGGCUAUUUUACGACAAGAAGAUACAGGGCGAAUUUUGUAUAUUUGAUGGUGGAUAUGGCGUUGGAGGAACAAUAUGGUGCUAGGGACAGAGAGAUGGGAAAUUGAAUAGGUGAUUUGCAAUGUGUGGCAGGACUCGAAAGACUCUAUGCUUGACACUGUCGUGGUGCACCAGUUCAGCACAAACAAAUCUUCUUGGGAGGCUCCUGAAAUAGGUUAGGUGAAGGUAAACGUUGAUGGUAGCCACCAUCGAGCAUCCUCUGGAAUAGCCUGCGGUGGUUUGAUUCAGGAUCACCAUGGAAAAUGGCUUCAAGGUUUUUCUGGUUUUGAAGGCCAGGGGGACGUGUACAUGGCAGAGCUUCUCGGAGUUCUCAGAGGCCUUCAGCUAGCGUGGCAUCAUGGUUACAGGAAGGUAGUUUGUGAAUCAGAUUCUUUGAGUGUGGUGCAAACCUUGUCGACAGGCAAAUCAGUAAACCUCCAUUCUUGUGCGGUGCUCUUGACAGAAAUUCAUUGUAUGCUUCUGGAGGAUUGGGAGGUGAUUUUCAAGCAUGUCUUGCGGGAUAAAAACAACGAAGCUGACACUCUAGAAAAGCUUGGCUUAGAGAAGAAGUGGAGGCUCACAACCUGGAAUUCCCCUCCCACUGAGCAUGUUCAGUUGGGAGGUCUAGUCUAAUUGUUUUUUCUUUUGUCUUUAUUUUCAUAAUCUACAAAAAAAAAAAACAUCAUAAUGUGAAUAUUUCCGCUCCUAUGAAUAAUGGAGUAUUAAUGGCACAAGUAACUUACUCGAAUUUUUGUAAUUUAGUUACUCUAAUAUGAAUGAUACAAAUGGUGGAUUUAUUUAUUUCCACUCUUCCCGCUUACCUCUAUAUCACUUUUGGUUCUUGCUUAAUGUUUCCACCGUUUCUACGGUAAACCUUUUAUGGAUUUAACAUUUGCUUUAUUGGUUAAUUUGUCCUUUUAAUGCAUUGAACAUUGGCUUUAUGGUUUGUAUCUGAAAGACUGAAACACAUUGAAAACCAAAAGGUUCCUUCUUUUGAAAUGGUUGCAUCUUUUAUAAAAGGAUAUCCAUGUUGAGUCGGAGAAGAUUUUGGAUUUUUCCAAUUAAGCAAGAUUUCAACAUGUAUAAAUUCUGAGUGUACAAUAUCUUGUAUGUGGCUAUGUUAUUGGAGAACAAACCUAACAUUAGAUUGCACUGGAGGUUUACCAUACUUUUACUUUCAAAAUAGUGAUUCGUCCACGGCGCAACUUUCCUCUUAUCUUCCAACAGAUGACACAUGUAAGAAUUGAAAUAGAACGCAAUUGUUUUUUCAAUCAAUUUUUUUUAUUGUUAUAGUUUUAAUAGAGCACAUGAAUAAAUUUAAAAUUUGACGAUUUAAUAAUAUCUAAUUAAUAUAUGUAAAUUCUGUGGCAUAGGUUAAUUUACUAGUUUUUAAAUAUAAGAAAGUAAUACACAAUUACAAGUGGCAUAGAUUUAAGAAAGUUCCAAUACCAUUUGAGGAGUUAAAUAAUUACGUUGAUGAAAAAAACAUAUACAAACUUAUUGUAGAUGGAUGGUUAGGCACUUGAUAAUCUCCUCUGGUUAGUUUUGUUCAAAAUAUAAGCAUUCUAACAAUAGCCAACGGGAAUGAGUUUCACAAGGAAAACGGGAAGAUGUAAGAGGAAGUACGCAUUCCAAGGAGCACCAGGAAAGGGAAGUGAGAGAUGAUAGCGGAGAGUUUGAGUGGUCAAGAGAUAGCAAUCCAAAUAUAUAUAAUAUGGUAAGAGGAUACGGAUGGUGUAAUGCUCUCUUCACACUAUAAAAUAGCAAAACGUCAUUGCUAGAAACAAAAGUACAAAUUUAAGGAGAAAAAGAAGAAGAUUAAGGAAAUGGACAUGGUACAAUUUUUGCUUUUGCUAUGCCUCUUAGUGGGGAUAACCUCAACGGUGCAUGGUGAAGACCCUUACUUCUAUUUCACAUGGAAAGUCACAUAUGGCACACUUUCCCCGGCGGGUGUCCCUCAACAGGUUAUUCUUAUCAAUGGUGAAUUUCCUGGACCCAACAUCAACUCGACCAGUAAUAACAACCUUGUUGUAAACGUCUUCAACCAACUUGAUGAGCCUCUCCUUUUCACAUGGUCUAGUACUUUCUCUAUUUUAUUAUGAACAAUUAAGAUUAAGAGUACCAAAACGGAAAAAUAUCACAUAAGCAUAUGAAUAACUUUGCUUUGCAGGGCGGGAGUCCAACAAAGGAAAAACUCAUGGCAAGAUGGGGUACCUGGAACUAACUGUCCCAUUGCUCCAGGAACAAACUGGACCUACAAGUUCCAGGUGAAGGACCAAAUAGGAAGCUACUUCUACUACCCAAGCUUGGGCUUGCAUAGGGCAGCUGGUGGAUUCGGUGGCCUACGCAUAAACAGUAGGUUACUUAUCCCUGUCCCCUAUGCAGAUCCUGAAGACGAUUACACUGUCCUCGUUGGCGACUGGUACACCAAGAGCCACUCUGCUCUCAAGAAAUUACUUGACAGCGGUCGCGCUCUUGGCAGGCCCCAAGCUGUUCUCAUCAACGGCCAAAAUGCCAAAGGAGACGGAACCGACAAGCCACUAUUCACAAUGAAGCCAGGAAAAACCUACAAAUAUAGAAUCUGCAAUGUGGGUCUGAAAAACUCCAUCAACUUCAGGGUCCAGCAACACUCCAUGUUACUCGUUGAAUUGGAAGGUUCCCACACCGUGCAAAACAGUUACGACUCACUUGACGUCCACGUCGGGCAGUGCUUUGGUGUCCUCAUAACUGCUGAUAAGGAACCGAAGGACUACUACAUGGUUGCCUCGACCAGGUUCACGAAAACUGUUUUGACCGGCAAAGGGAUCAUCCGCUAUACCAAUGGAAAGGGACCAGCUUCACCUGAACUCCCUGAGGCCCCUGUGGGCUGGGCCUGGUCUCUGAACCAGUACCGUUCCUUCCGUUGGAACCUCACUGCCAGCGCUGCCAGGCCUAACCCCCAGGGCUCUUACCAUUACGGCCAGAUAAACAUCACCCGCACUGUUAAGCUAAUUAACUCUGUCAGCAGGGACAAUGGGAAGCUCCGUUACGCGCUUAACGGAGUCUCCCACGUUGACCCAGAAACACCCAUCAAGCUCGCUGAGUAUUAUGGGAUUGGUGAGAAAUUUUUCAAGUACGACACCAUUCCAGAUAGCCCGCAAGGCCUUUCAAAUGCUGUCACCUUGCAAACCAAUGUUCUUAACUUCACCCAUCGCACCUUCAUCGAGAUCAUCUUCGAGAACCACGAAAAAAGUGUCCAGUCGUAUAAUUUGGCCGGCUACUCAUUCUUCUAUGUCGCG